rnacentral:rRNA from 1 species
CGUAGGGUGCGAGCGUUAAUCGGAAUUACUGGGCGUAAAGCGUGCGCAGGCGGUUUAGUAAGACAGGCGUAAAAUCCCCGGGCUCAACCUGGGAACUGCGCUUGUGACUGCUAAGCUAGAGUACGGCAGAGGGGGGUGGAAUUCCACGUGUAGCAGUGAAAUGCGUAGAGAUGUGGAGGAACACCAAUGGCGAAGGCAGCCCCCUGGGUCGAUACCGACGCUCAUGCACGAAAGCGUGGGUAGCAAACAGGAUUAGAUACCCUGGUAGUCCACGCCCUAAACGAUGUCAACUAGGUGUUGGGAGGGUAAAACCUUUUAGUACCGGAGCUAACGCGUGAAGUUGACCGCCUGGGGAGUACGGCCGCAAGGCUA